UGUAUGAGUUGUGWUUGGGAUGUUUUUGCUGGCUGGCUCCGUGCUUGUGCAUCGAACGGCUCGCAUGACAACCCUUUUCAAGUGAAGCCCGCCUUGCCUAGAAUUCGGCGGCGGCGCCCGGUUCCUGUGUUGCCUACCUCUUGAAUGGUAUUCGUGUUGCCUGUCGGAUUUUGUCCAUCCAGGUCUCCUCCACGGGGGGGUUCUGGGGGACUUCGAAGCGGUUCAUUUGCUCCAUCCACGAAAGUGGCUUGUCGUGACAACCACUGUGGCGUGGCGCACAUGCACCCGCUGUCCUCUCGGAUGCGGUCCACGAGAUGAAACAUGGGAAUCCUACCCACACCGUCUCUCGAACUAAUAUCGGUUGCCUCGGAACACACUCGCCCUCGGCCCUCGCUAGCCCUCCACCCACGGGUGGCGGCUUGCGGGCACCGAAGAGCGAAGUUGUUAAACGGACG
rnacentral:misc_RNA from 1 species